rnacentral:misc_RNA from 1 species
GAUGAAGAACGCAGCGAAAUGCGAUAAGUAAUGUGAAUUGCAGAAUUCAGUGAAUCAUCGAAUCUUUGAACGCACAUUGCGCCCGCCAGUAUUCUGGCGGGCAUGCCUGUUCGAGCGUCAUUUCAACCCUCAAGCCCAGCUUGGUGUUGGGGAUCGGCACAGGCGCCCCCGGGCGCCCGCCGUCCCCUAAAUCUAGUGGCGGUCCCGCUGCAGCCUCCUCUGCGUAGUAGUUUUCUCCUCGCAAGGGCAGCUCGGUGGCGACCUCGCCGUAAAACCCCCAACUUCUGAAAGGUUGACCUCGAAUCAGGUAGGAAUACCCGCUGAACUUAAGCAUAUCAAUAAGCGGAGGA